CGAAUCCCGAUGAUGGAGAAUAGUAAACAGGAUCCCGUAUGGAAAGAGAGAGUCUGCCACCCGGCUGAAAGCAGACUUACAUUGCGCCCUGUUGAAUGAACACUCCGUAGGCUUUUUCCUGAACUUUGAGUAGGGAAAGACGUCAGCAGGCGUUAACUGCUUAAAGUGGAAGCUCAGGCUUCAAUUAGGGUGGCACCGCGGAAUUUCCCGUCCCUUGU
rnacentral:ncRNA from 1 species